rnacentral:rRNA from 1 species
GAUCAUGGCUCAGGAUGAACGCUAGCUACAGGCUUAACACAUGCAAGUCGAGGGGAAACGACAUCGAAAGCUUGCUUUUGAUGGGCGUCGACCGGCGCACGGGCGAGUAACGCGUAUCCAACCUGCCCAUCACUUGGGAAUAACAUUGCGAAAGUAAGACUAAUGCCCAAUGAUAUCCCACGAAGGCAUCCGAAUGGGAUUAAAGAUUUAUCGGUGAUGGAUGGGGAUGCGU